UCCUGCUGGAAGCUCCUGCUCUCA
rnacentral:misc_RNA from 1 species